rnacentral:rRNA from 1 species
AGAGCGAACGCUGGCGGCAGGCUUAACACAUGCAAGUCGAGCGGGCGUAGCAAUACGUCAGCGGCAGACGGGUGAGUAACGCGUGGGAACAUACCUCUUGGUUCGGAACAACACAGGGAAACUUGUGCUAAUACCGGAUAAGCCCUUACGGGGAAAGAUUUAUCGCCGAGAGAUUGGCCCGCGUCUGAUUAGCUAGUUGGUAGGGUAAUGGCCUACCAAGGCGACGAUCAGUAGCUGGUCUGAGAGGAUGAUCAGCCACAUUGGGACUGAGACACGGCCCAAACUCCUACGGGAGGCAGCAGUGGGAAUAUUGGACAAUGGGGGCAACCCUGAUCCAGCCAUGCCGCGUGAGUGAUGAAGGCCCUAGGGUUGUAAAGCUCUUUUGUGCGGGAAGAUAAUGACGGUACCGCAAGAAUAAGCCCCGGCUAACUUCGCGCCAGCAGCCGC